AUUUCAAAACCGUAUCCCACGUUCCACAGCCCCGGGUGGUUCGAUUCU
rnacentral:tRNA from 12 species